AUACGAAAGUAAUAUUCCUUUUCUUUUAGUUUUCUUUUUUUCUGAUGACCCAAUCUAUCAUUCACGAAAGAAAUCCAAGCUGCUUUCUUAUCUUCUGUUCUUUUUCACCUUUUCUGUCCAGGAAAUCCUCUUACUAGGUUAAGCCGCUGGCUUUUCACCUCAGAGUCAGACCGGGCUCCCACAGCCAUGCCGCAGUCUGAUUUGUUCAUCUGUCGUUUUGUUUUUAGUUUCUAUCUAGGUUUUAUGAUUUCUCUAGCUUUUAGUUAUGAUUUCUUCUAAAGGCAGAUCUAGUUUCUAAAUCUCAGAUCUAGAGAAGGAGGUUAAGCAACAGCGUUAGUGCUUUGGGCUUUAGAGUGGUUGUGUCUUGGCAGCAGUGCGCCGUUGGGGUUCUCGCCUUGCUGGGGUCUAGCCGUCAGAUCCGUGGGUUGCUUUCGUUUCUCACUGGUUCCAAUCAAAGGGUCAUGUAAAUUUGACGGGCUGCACUACACAAUAAAUAUGAAUGUUAGCAGGGGCCAUACUAUGACAUACUCAG